GACGAACGCUGGCGGCGUGCUUAACACAUGCAAGUCGAGCGGUAAGGCCCUUUCGGGGGUACACGAGCGGCGAACGGGUGAGUAACACGUGGGUGACCUGCCCUCAGCUCUGGGAUAAGCCUGGGAAACCGGGUCUAAUACUGGAUAUGACUCCAUGACGCAUGUUGUGGGGUGGAAAGCCUUGUGCGGCUGAGGAUGGGCCCGCGGCCUAUCAGCUUGUUGGUGGGGUGANGGCCUACCAAGGCGACAACGGGUAGCCGGCCUGAGAGGGCGACCGGCCACACUGGGACUGAGACACGGCCCAGACUCCUACGGGAGGCAGCAGUGGGGAAUCUUGCGCAAUGGGCGAAAGCCUGACGCAGCGACGCCGCGUGAGGGAUGACGGCCUCGGUUGUAA
rnacentral:rRNA from 1 species